UGAUUUAUCAUUAUUUAUUAGUUUUAGUUACAAGAAGUUGGUAUUUAGCACCUUAAAACUUCUUUUAGUACAUUAUGCUACAUUCUGAGGCACACAACAAGCCAGAAAAAGCCAGGUGUUAACAUGUGAGACCAGAAGCAUACGAAUGAAGGCACCUAGUUCAUUGCCCAUUUUGAAAGAAUAUAACACUGGUUUUACAGAAUUUUGGUUCAAUGAAAUUUUGAAACCUGUGUUAUGACUAUUAAAAACAGACUGAUUUUUUUAUUUGGCAUUAGAAUAGAGGUACCAAUUUUUUUGUUGAUUGUGUCACCACAUAAUGAAGAGAUAACUGUAUUGUUUCUGAAGCUUGGUCUACAAAUAUAUGUAAACUUGGUUUUAAUAAUGUAAAUAUAUGCUGCUCAUCACUAUAUAGACUCAAUUUGAAACAAUAAAACUCAUACUUUAUGUAGGUCAAUAAA
rnacentral:lncRNA from 1 species